UACGUAGGGUGCAGGCGUUAAUCGGAAUUACUGGGCGUAAAGCGUGCGCAGGCGGUUUGCUAAGACAGGUGUGAAAUCCCCGGGCUUAACCUGGGAACUGCGCUUGUUACUGGCAGGCUUGAGUGUGGCAGAGGGGGGUGGAAUUCCGCGUGUAGUGGUGAAAUGCGUAGAUAUGCGGAGGAACACCAGUGGCGAAGGCGGCCACCUGGACCGUCCCUGACGCUCAAACACGAAAGCUAGGGUAGCGAACGGG
rnacentral:rRNA from 1 species